ACCGUGAGACAGGUGCUGCAUGGCUGUCGUCAGCUCGUGUUGUGAAAUGUUGGGUUAAGUCCCGCAACGAGCGCAACCCUUAUCCUUUGUUGCCAGCGGUCCGGCCGGGAACUCAAAGGAGACUGCCAGUGAUAAACUGGAGGAAGGUGGGGAUGACGUCAAGUCAUCAUGGCCCUUACGACCAGGGCUACACACGUGCUACAAUGGCGCAUACAAAGAGAAGCGACCUCGCGAGAGCAAGCGGACCUCAUAAAGUGCGUCGUAGUCCGGAUUGGAGUCUGCAACUCGACUCCAUGAAGUCGGAAUCGCUAGUAAUCGUGGAUCAGAAUGCCACGGUGAAUACGUUCCCGGGCCUUGUACACACCGCCCGUCACACCAUGGGAGUGGGUUGCAAAAGAAGUAGGUAGCUUAACCUUCGGGAGGGCGCUUACCACUUUGUGAUUCAUGACUGGGGUGAAGUCGUAACAAGGUAACCGUAGGGGAACCUGCGGUUGGAUCACCUC
rnacentral:rRNA from 1 species